rnacentral:lncRNA from 1 species
UAACUGGUCCUGCAGCAGCAGAUGACGAUGCAACAGUGUGGAGGUGCAAAGCUGCGGUCGCUUACACAGUUCCUGUGUGCACACGGACACCAAACGCUGGUGAGGGUCCAUGAGAACCUGGUCGGGUUCAAGAGCCAGCAGAGGGGUGUGUGUGUGUGUGUGUGUGUGUGUGUGUGUGUGGGGGGGGGGGGGGGGGGGGGGGGGGGUGUCAAAUAAGGCUGAAUGAUCAGCCCGAACCCCUGUGAAUCACCAGACGAGGGUGGCUGAAGAAGAGUGGAAGUCAGGUUUAGGAAGCUCGCCGUCAGUUACCGACGAUGCACCAGGGCACCUGUUGCUAUUGCCCCCAUCACCCGGACCCGUACACACAGGUGGAGAUGCAAGAAGAAAGAAAACGUACCCCGUGUCCCUCUAAACUUUGGGUCGGUUAGUUUAAAAUAAUGAGAAGACCGACAGUUAGUGAGCACUGACAGUCUGAAGGGAAACGAAGGGAGGGGGAGGGGGGAGGAGAGAGUAAUUGAGAGAAGAGGAAAUGAGAACUGAGAAACUCAGUGAAGUGCAACACGCUACAGAGGACUAAAGAAAAGGAACACAUCCACGAAAGAGAGGGAAAGGAGGCUCGAUGUAGAGGGGAGAGAGAGAGAGAGAUUACAUCUGUGUCCAUCAUGAGACUGGCGACUCGCCUCUGUUUCCUUGUUCUGGCGGUUUCGUCUGCUUCCAGAGGACAAAAUCAAACUGCGACGUCCGAACUACAGACCAAAAACAGCACAGAUUCCUCUCAACCCACGCCGACCAUUCCUUCCAGCGAUGCUCCAACCACAGAUACCGUUCCAACCCCCACAGCCAAUAGGGUGGAGAGCAAUUCAACCCUCAGUCAGACACAAGCAACGACGAGGAUCCAAGUCAACUUUGGCACAACGGAGGAAGUCAACAGCGGCUCAGGAUUUUGGGUGACACAGACAACCACCCUGCCAGGCAGUCCGGUUUCUAUAGCGACGACCGGUUAUGUGAUCCUGGUGCUGAUCGUCCUGGCGAUCAUUUUUCUUUGUGGGAUCAUCUUCUUCCUCCGGAGAGCGUCCAGGACAUACUCCUUUGAUCUCCAACGUCCGCCUCCUUCCAGCCACCUUAACGAACCCAUUGGCACCUUCGAACCGAUGUGCCUGGAUGAUCUCGAUCAAGUAGUCUAUGUUGACCAAGUGACCCCGGAUGGUUUUUCACGGUCCUCGUGUGCCAAUGGCACGGCCCCACGGUCAGACGAAAAGGCGCCCGACGACCAGACCGACACGACACGUGGUGCCGCAGACGCCAGUCCACAGGAAGAGCCGGGCGCAAACGCUCAAGACGCUUCAUCCACCAGUAGCACCAGUGGCUCCGUGAGCGAAGACCCAGUGGAUAAGACUGCCAGCUUAUCCAAUGGCAUCGACUUGCUUAUGGAUUCUACUGGGGAAGAGGAGCAAAAUCAGGCCAACAGCCCAACGGUUUGUCCCACAGACACGUUUUUCGAUGUAAACCUCGAGGUUGUGGCUCAGAGUGAACCGAGCGAAAGCCCUGGAGAAAAUCCUUGA